GAGGAAGGAUUGACACUCUAUCCCGCCGAGGGCCUUUCCUAAGAUGCCUGCUGGGAGCACUCACUGUGUGUUUCUCUUUAGGGGAAAGGACACUUAGAGCACCUGUACUGAGAGGUAGAAGGUGGAGGAGCCUGUGUGCAUACCCUGCUUCCCUUGCUGUUACACAGAUUCUAAACACAGGUCUGAACACAAGCUCGAUGGCAACUCUCAGCUCCGUCUGCCGAGGCUGCAGCUCCAAAGCUCCUCACCAUCCUCCACCUUCUCCUCCAGAGUAACAAAGCCAUUGGAUUUCCUCCCACCCCUUCCCCACGCUCCCCCUCCCCCUCGCUGGCACCGGGGUUAUUUAUACAGAAUGUGGAAACAAUUUGCAGGAAAGUGAACAAUGUAAGCGGGAGCGAGGGAAGGGAGACAAGUUUGUUGUGCACACUGAGAGCCCCAGCGGUGAAACGCUGCUUUUUGGGGGGCUGAGAGAACAAACUGUUUUCCUUUCUUCCUUUUCCUCUCUUUCACCAUCUCCCUGAGCUCUUUCCAUCUUGCCAGAGUCGGGUCCAAACCAGAGUAACCAGCUCUGAGUGCGUGUUUUGGAGGAGGUUCAGGUUGGAUCCCUCCCUGCAUCCCAGCCCCGUGAGGCGGUGUCUGUGGACUUAAUCCUCUCCAAGGUUCUGCUCUCGGAUCCUCGCUGCUCCUGGAUUAGCAUUAAUGAGGAGCAUGUGUGCUCACAGGUCCUGCUCCAGGCCCCCAGAGCUGCAGCGCUGGGCUGAGACACGGCUACUCCGAGGAACAGUUCAGCUGAAACAGAACCAUUCCUGGGAGCGAACGAAGCUGGAACUUUUUGCAAAGUCUAAUUUUGGUCUUUCUCCCCUCACCCACUGAGCAUUCUGUUUUCAGGACAUCCCAGCACCUUGCUGGCUCCAGUGUGAGUGUCUGGGAAUCAGGGAGUUUACCUGAGUCCUGCUGGGGCUGAGGAAGCUGAACCAGCACUGACCUCUGAGCAGCUCUGGGAUCUUCAGCUCUCACUCUGCACCAUGAAGGCCUCAAAAAGAGGCAGUCCCAACCCACACACCAUUUGGGGAAGGGACACUGGUGUUGCAGAGGCAAGGGAAUGUUAUCCUGGGUUUUUGUGGCAGAGCAACCGCCUUGGCCACAGUGGGUGCCUCAGCCACUCCUCCCCUCCCCUCCCAGGAGCUGCAGCCUCUCAUCCCAACAGCCUCCAGACUUGGGAUGGGAUCUGUGCAGUUGUGCUGAGCUGGCAGGGCAGGGCCAGGGAGCUGCCAAGUGGGACAGCACGUUCCUCCCUAAACUGGGCACAUUCCUGGCUGAGAACUGGUGCAGGAGAUCCACUGUGAUCCAUGGGCAGAGGUGGAAGGAACAUGUGGAGGGCUUUUCCUCCCUGAGAAUCCAUCCUCUCCACACUCCAGUUCUUCCUGCUCCAUCAGGAGUCCACACACAGAGGGUGAGGUUUCUGUGGGUGUUUGUUUUUGUAACAUGCCCCAUCUGUGCUCCCACAUGGAAUGGCAGGGAUCUCUGGCCAGGCUGGCCCUCCCAGAGCCCUUGGCACAGCAGAGACCAUUCCAAAUGCUGCUGC